rnacentral:tRNA from 16 species
GCCGGAUUAGCACAGUGGUAGUGCAGCGGUUUUGUAAACCGAAGGCCGGGAGUUCGAAUCUCUCAUCCGGCACCA